AGCCUUCAGCAUUCGUUCUUGCAAGUGAAGCCACCUGAGGGGGCAAGGCUGCUAUGGAGCAGCUGCAGGCUACCUACCACUGCCUGUGGGACAUGGGAACCAUGGUGAAAUGCUCCCGCUUUAGGGCAUCCUGGGUCCUUUUUCAGUUUGGUUGAGAAGAAGGUGGUAGCAGCUUUUUAGACCUGCUAGAGAGAGAAGAACUGAUUCCUGUUUCCCACUGAGUGAGGAGCUUAUGCACUUGGAAAACUUCUCCAGCAUUGGAAAUGAGCCAUCGUGGACAGUAGCAGGGGAUUCUUCUGGAAGCCCUCCAGGCAUGGGCACAGGGUCCCAGCUGGCAGAGGGGUGUUUUCUCGCUGUAUGUGAUUUAAAGAAGAACUCCAGGGAUCAGUGAUGACAGCAGAGCACGACAUGCGCUGAAGGAUGAAAUAUGGGAAAUCUUAACUCUUUGCUGUGCUGCAACGUGCCCAUCAGCUGGUCUCACAGGGUGCUGGUGUCUCCUGUUCAAGUGUGGAGCUGUGUUGUGGAUGGGAAAUGGGCUGAGGUAAUGCAGGAAAUCUGACAGAUUCAGGAGUUAAACUUGGGGUGUGCUGAGGAGAAACUGAGCAAAGUGGUGUUAGCUACAAACGGCCCUGGCGACAGCAUAGUGCCUUCAGUCAGCUGUAGGUAAGGGCAGGUGUUGACACGUGUGACAGUGCAUGAUAUCUGCCAGUCCUGCUGCAUCCCUAGGGGAGGACAUCCAGGAUCUGCAGGGCAGCAUUUAUAUAUGUAACUGCUUGCACUUCUGUUUGCUGUGCAUGUAUAAAGAUAUGAGCUUUGUUUUGUUUUGAAAACGGACCCAAGAUUGACAUGUCAAAAGAACUGUAGAAAGUGGAGCUUAAAGAGAUGAUAAGGAACUGGUAAUCUUGUCCAGCCCCUAAUGCAUGCAGGAUCAGCUCUGUGUCAUCCUGAGGGAUGUUUGUGUAAUUGAUUCUUGCAGAGUUUCAGUCAUGGGCAUUUCAAGCCUCCUGUGAGAACCAGUUUAACUGAACCCCUGACUUCUCCUGGGCACAAGGGAGUGGGAUCCCCGAUGGGUGGGUAUUUGGGUUGUAGCUGGGGAGAUCUUCAUCGUCAAGGGCUGCUGCGUGCAUCUAGAGCCAGUGCACACACCAGUCCUGGGCUUUGCUUGUAAAGGAACAGCCUCUGCCCUCCUUGGAGGACUAGUGCCCACAAUGGAAAAAGAAGCUGUGACGAAUGUAUUCAGUGCUGGGUUAGUGAGAAAGGAAGGAUUUCCUCUGUGAAUAACUCUUGUUUUCCACAUCUGCAACUCCAGUG